UAUCAGCCCACUUAAGGCUCACCCUAUCAAUAGAGUUGUGAAUUUCUUCUAGAAAAAUGAAUGCUGAUGAAAAGUACGAGAAGGAAGGAGAGAGCCUGGGAGCCAGUAGGAGAGUUAAAGUAAAGCCCAAGCCAGAGUAUCCUCCUCUCCCACUAAAAGUCAAAAGCAAAGAAGAUAAUUGAAUCAAUGAGCUCUUCAAAGCAUUCAAAUUUAGAAGCAAGUAAGGAAAACGUGUCUCAACCAAAAAAGAGCAAAAAGGAAAUUAUACACAAAUGAAAUUUCAUCUCCUAUUGAUGUAUCCGGCCAAGUGAUUUUAGUGGACCAGAAAGUGAAGGAAAGUGAUCACCAGAUUCUCAAACGACGACUUCCAUCACAAAUAGCCAAAUAAAUCACC
ensembl:lncRNA